UACGUAGGGUGCGAGCGUUAAUCGGAAUUACUGGGCGUAAAGCGAGCGUAGUCGGUUAUUUAAGUCGGGUGUGAAAGCCCCGGGCUCAACCUGGGAAUUGCAUUCGAUACUGGAUAGCUAGAGUUCGGCAGAGGGAAGCGGAAUUUCCGGUGUGAGCGGUGAAAUGACGUAGAUAUCGGAAGGAACGCCGGUGGCGAAAGCGGCGUGCCGUGGACCCCUUCUGACGCUGAGGCGCGAAAGCCAGGGGAGCAAACGGG
rnacentral:rRNA from 1 species